rnacentral:rRNA from 1 species
UGGGGAAUAUUGCGCAAUGGAGGGAACUCUGACGCAGCAACGCCGCGUGAAGGAAGAAGGAUUUCGGUUCGUAAACUUCAGACGCUAAAGAAGAUAAUGACGGUAUUUAGGCCGGAGCCCCGGCUAACUACGUGCCAGCAGCCGCGGUAAUACGUAGGGGGCAAGCGUUAUCCGGAAUUACUGGGCGUAAAGGGUGAGUAGGCGGUUAUGUAAGUCAUAUGUGAAAGGCUGAGGCUCAACCUCAGAAUUGCAUAAGAAACUACAUAACUUGAGUACAGGAGAGGUAAGCGGAAUUCCUAGUGUAGCGGUGAAAUGCGUAGAUAUUAGGAAGAACACCAGUGGCGAAGGCGGCUUACUGGACUGUAACUGACGCUGAGGCACGAAAGCGUGGGGAGCGAACA